CCCUAGCCCUGCUGUACACUAUAUCUUUUAUGUCCGCCGCGGCGGACAUAAAAGAUAUAGUGUACAGCAGGAAAUAGC
rnacentral:sRNA from 3 species